rnacentral:lncRNA from 1 species
AAAAUAAUAAAAUUGUAUUCCGAAAAUUAAAAAAAAAUUAAAAAAAAUCUAUUGUUUUUACUAAAAAAAAAUACAAAACAUUUGUGAUAAAAAUAUCUUUUUUAUUUAGAAAAAAAUAAUAAUUUUAUUUGAAAAAAAAUAUCAAAUAUAAUUUUUUUGAAAAAAAAAAUCCAAAUAUAAUAUUUUUGGUGAAAAGAAAAAAAAUAUGAUUUUUAUUUUUUAAAUAAAUUUUUUAUAAAAUUUAAA